UUGCCAUGAUGAUUUCAAAUUAUUAGGAAAGCAUUAUGCUAAUGCUUUGUGAUUGUUCGGCAUUAAUGCCGACCUGAGCAGUUACCUGAGCAA
rfam:Beta vulgaris subsp. vulgaris Bvchr6.sca005.con0158.1, whole genome shotgun sequence.